AGACUCCUGGUGCUUGCCACAAGCUAUGUUCUUACAAUGACAGUAGAGAAAGAGGAAGUAUAAUAAACAUUUCUCACAUACAUACCUCAGCUCAGGUCUUGGGCCUGGUCUGUAAGUAGGACACUAAAA
ensembl:snoRNA